UACGUAGGGUGCGAGCGUUGUCCGGAAUUAUUGGGCGUAAAGAGCUCGUAGGCGGUCUGUCGCGUCGAAUGUGAAAACCCGGGGCUCAACUCCGGGCUUGCAUUCGAUACGGGCAGGCUAGAGUUCGGUAGGGGAGUCUGGAAUUCCUGGUGUAGUGGUGAAAUGCGCAGAUAUCAGGAGGAACACCGGUGGCGAAGGCGGGACUCUGGGCCGAUACUGACGCUGAGGAGCGAAAGCGUGGGGAGCGAACAGG
rnacentral:rRNA from 1 species